rnacentral:rRNA from 1 species
UACAGAGGGUGCAAGCGUUGCUCGGAAUCAUUGGGCGUAAAGGGUAGGUAGGUGGUCUCAUUUGUCUGGGGUGAAAGCCCAGGGCUUAACCCUGGAAGUGCCCCGGAAACGGUGAGACUGGAGUCUUGGAGAGGGUCGUGGAAUUCCCGGUGUAGCGGUGAAAUGCGUAGAGAUCGGGAGGAACACCAGAGGCGAAGGCGGCGACCUGGACAAGCACUGACGCUCAACUACGAAAGCGUGGGGAGCAAACAGG